rnacentral:sRNA from 1 species
UGUAUCUGAAGUCUGACGAGGAUGAGAACCUCCGGGGGCAAGAGGUUCGACCCGAGCGAAGCGAGAGAACGUUGCGCCAGCAACGGCCCGCAGGGCGAGCCACCCUCUAUCACCGGCA